CAGAGACUACGACGAAGAGGACGAUGAAGACGAGGACGGCUCAGAGGGAGGAGAGGUGGGGCUGAGCUUCCAGGUGAACCGGAACGAUCAGGACGACGACGACGAUGAUGACGAAUUUGGUGAGGAAGAAGAGGAUCAGGCCGGCAUUCAGGGAGAAAAGAGGAAGCGAGAGGUGGACGACGAAGGCGAGGAUGACGAGGACGAUGAAGAAGACUAGUCCUGGUCUGUGUGUCCUGUUUCUGUCCUCCAGACCAGCGCAGAGACAGACAACAGGACCGAGUGUCUCCGCUAGUCUCCUUCAGUCCGUCUUUAUUUUUAGAUAAUAUAUAAGAAGAUUUUAUCAGAACUUCAACCUCAAGAGUCCACGUGUUUCCCUUUAAAGACCUGGUCCAGGAUCAGUCUGUUCGGUUUAGUCCGUCCCCCUUCUCCACAUCCUGAACCUGAUCCUCGUCCAAACGGUCUCACUGGCAAAGAAUCCAUCAGGCGAAAAAGACACAACUGAGAAAAAGGUCCCGCCCCUCCGCGGACUGACUUCCUGUCAGCAAAGAUGUUUCAGAAUGAUGUCUCUUCUUGUCCCCACCAUCAGCUGCUGUCCUAAAGAGCCUCCUGACAGAGUCCAGGUCCGACUACAAGACUUGUCUCUUUAGACAUAAAGAAACGGGAGGCGCCAACCGGACUGAUCCAGAUCAGACGAAUCCAGAACACAUCUGCAUCAGGACCGCUUGGUCUAGGGGAUUUCUUGUAUUCUGCUCUGGGCUUUGGACCUGCCGUCUCAGACCGCAACCCAAGUCUUGAUCCACCCGUCAUAGAUGAUCUCAGUGAACCAGGAUCCGGAGCUUCAACAACAGGAAGUGAAGAGAUUGUCAGGUCUCCAGGAGCUUCAGACCGGAACCACAAUCCAGUCCGAUCCACACCUUUUUUAAAGAAUCACCAGAACCGGUUCUUCCUGCAGCCAUAUCCGGUUCUGAACUCUAACUGGGGGGCGGGGCGGCGGCGUCCCAAAGUCUUCAGGAUCCUCCGUCCCAAAGUCUUCAGGAUCCUCCGUCCCGGUCUGAACCUUCUAGUCUCUGAACUGAUCAUGUUAGAAACAUGCAGACCUGGUGUAGCUCAGGUCCACGUACCCCCCCCCCCCAGUGUGUGUUUGGGUUGUUCUGGGGGGGGGGGGGCGGCAUUAGUUCUGAUCCUUUGUUUUUCUUUGGAGCGACUUGUUUGUUUUGUUGUUUUUGUCCCUGAACGCAACUGAGUCUCCUGUGGAUAAUGUUGGCAUCACGGGAGACCCUGAACGCCUCGUAUCGAUUCGUUAAUGUUUUGUGUUUUAAAUAAGAAAACUUUUAGUUUCAGUCGGGACGUGACCGGCGGUCUCCUUCACGGACCCUCCGUUAGUGGACUUCCUGUCAUUUAACCACGAUGACCAACGGUCGCUUUUCUCUGACUGAAUACAUUUAAAAAGGUAGAAAUUCAACGUAUUCGCAGUUUUUAAAAAAAAUUUUUUUACCUAAAAUAAAACGUCAACAUUUCUUCCCGGGGACUCAGCUGCUCGUCCUCCCCCCCCCGUAGAUCACGAUCGUUCUGACCGUUGAUCUCCUGAUGAGUCGGGUUUGAUUCUGAAGAAGCUCAACUUUGACUUUUAACUAAACUGCUUUGAAGUUUUAGCUUGUCUCUCGUUUUACACUCUUAAAAACACAACGCACCGCUUUUAGAUUCUCACGGCUGAAACAGGUUGAAGUAGUACUGUAAUACUUCAGCGUACAAGUACAUGCAUCAAGUGUGUAUUUAACUUCUUCAUAAUUAGAUUUAAUCAUCUUUAAACUCUGAAACAAACACUUUUACGUCUGUUGACAGUUGGAAGUGAGAGCAGCUUGACCAAUCAGAGCCCUGUGGGCAGCUAGGGGCGGGGCGUGUGUGUGUUAGCUUAGAUGCUACGGUAGCAUCAGCUCCAUCAGAGGAUGUCAUUCAAACACUGAACAUGUUCAUUGGUUCUUCUGGCUGCUGUAAGAGUUUGAUUGACAGCUGGUUCAUCCAAUCACCUGCCAGCUAUUCCUCCUGCAGUCUAUUUAAAAGUGGGCGUGUUGUGUUUUUAGGAGUGUAAGAGGUGAAAGGUCGCAUCGGUCGGUUUGAACCGUUUUUUAAGGCAAUAUUGUAAAUAGACUGCUCAGUUUCAAGUUUGUUUUUAUUUUGUAAUGAAUUUAAAUAAUUUUACAGAUGUGGUGUUCUUUUGCAGCGAGGUGAUAGUUGACCCCCAUCUUUUACCUGUGACCCCGCCCCUCUCCUCUGGGGGGGGGGGGGGGUUGCUGUGUUUGACUGUGUGAUGUAACUAAACACAUUGAGGGGUUUUAAAUAAAAAAAAAAACUAAAGGAACAGGAAGUUGUGUUAAGGAGAAGUUUGGGGGAAAUAAAGAGGUGGAGCUCUGAGGAGGCGGAGUCUCUCAGGACGCGCUGGGAGCCUGUGAGGCGAGCAGCAGGGUCCAGAAACCCUCGACUCCACAGGUGAGUGUCAGCAGGAGACUUGUAAUCAUCAUUGAAGCACUGGUGGAUCACAUGACGGUGGAUCACGUGACGGUGGAUCACAUGACGGUGGUUCUCAGGACGUCCUGUAGGCGGCGCUGCUGUCUGUUGCUCUGCUGCUGAAACAACGUGAUGAAGAUUAAACAGGUCACAGAUGAUCUAUAGUUCAGUCCUUGUGCACAUUUAUAUAUAAUAUUAGAUGUUUCUUUACGUUAACUAAAAUAAGUCAAACUUACAUUGUAAAGAUGUGUUGACUCGGCUAAAUAUGAAGUUUAAUUCAAUCGUUUCCUGAAGUUCAGAUUAUUUAAAUCGGCUACAUGUUAAAAACUUAAGACAGUUUUGAACAAAUCAUUGAGAUUAGUUCAGCUCUGAUUGAUGAAGCACGAAGGGAGCUCAUGUUAGGAGACGAGGUGAUGAGGAGAGGAGACGAGGAGCACCCUUUGACCUCUGAGCCUCCUCCUCAGAUUUAACAUGGAUGACACUGGUAAAUUGUCCUUUAAUGGAUGUAACAGCUGUGACCACAGACACUUACACACUCACACACACACACUACAGUGUACAAAUACUCUGUUACAAGUAAAAGCACAGAUUUACAAAUGUAAGUUCAGAUGUAUUAACUUUAACAAAAUGUAGUUAAAGUAUUGAUGUAGAAUAAUGUCUCCUUUGGGACCAGGGGGUCAGGGGUCCUGGAAAAAAAGUGUGUGUGUGUGCUGAAAGCUUUUGGUCGUCAUGUUAUUUUUAUAACACAGAAACAUUAAAACACAGCUGUGCUGUUAUUGGACAGAUACAGCAGGUCGAUGACAUCACUCUGACCUCUGUGCUGCAGUGUGAUGUCACUGUUUCUUUGUGUUGAUAAUAAACAGGAAGUAUUUUUAGUUCUGUUGCUACGAGAGCUUCUCCUCUUCCUCCUGCUUCUCCUCUUCUUCCUUCUGCUUCUGCCUCCUGCUUCUCCUCCUCUUCUGCCU